UCUGGAACAUAACUCAAUUGGUUAGACACAUAUAUAUUCAAUAAAAAAAAGAUAACUGUUUGUUCCCACUUAAGCUGGAAAUUUUCUUCAUGUCCGACUUGCGUUGGGGCAUUUGAUAGUACAAUGUUAGAGGCUAGGAGGUCAGAUCAUUAGCAAAAGACUGGUGCUUGCAGUCCUUGAACAUCCCCUGAAGAUUCCUCACUCUCUGCUAUCAUACUACCAAAAAUUAGUCAUUUCAUCGUACUCUUUGUCCAUUCCUCCUUGGAAUAUUUUGGUAUCAUCUGUCUAUUUUAUUUUGGGGCUACACCUUUGUUGUUUUGCCUUUAGGUUUCAUUCCGAAGAUUCCAUACCAGUUAAGUCGUCGUCCUUUACGUGGUCACUAAUAUGUGGUUCUGGUGGGUUACGAGAAAUAAGUCCUUAUUGGUUUGAUUUUGGUUGCAUUUCCGAACACUAGAUGAGUAGAAUGUAACUCUAGCUUGUUGUGAGUUAUCGACUCAAGUAGUCAUCGAUGCACUUCUUGGCAAUGAAAUCUAAAGACUACAUAGAGAGAGAGGGGAGAGAACUUGCCGUGUUCUCCCCCGAGAAAGAAACAGUUUCAUUGAUGCCCUUUUCCUGAAAAAAAAAAGCUACGACUGACAAGCUUUGAAGUUGCCAAUCAGAGUAUCUAUCAUAGAUAAGUGGAUAAGAUACUAAUGUAAUAUGUAUGAUAGUUCAAUGUCCCACCAUGCGAGAAUUCGCAAUCGUUGAACUCAUGGAAGUUUUUGAGGUUUUGAAGAUGCAUGAUUGAACACUAUCUCGAACCUUCUCUUCUCCUCACUACCUAUGAUGUUUUAUCAGGUAGCAUUUCAGGUUCUGGCAAAAAUAUUCACCAUGUGGACUCAUUCGACGACCCUAAGGGCUAUUUAGAUGAAGGGGAAGCCAUGAAUUCUGAGCCUAACAAACAAAAGAAAAGGAACAAGAAGAGAAUGAAAAGCCAAAGACUGUUGAGGACUCCGAGUGUGGGGAAGAAGCCCAAAAAGAAGUUGAACUUAUGAGCUGAAACAAGACAUGGACCUUCCUAAUAACUGCCAAUAGUUCAGUCUUCUGAAGAAUGGGGAAUAACUUGAAAAAGGAAUCGACAAGGCAGUUUUUAAGCCCUAUAGGGUUGCUGUUCCUGGUAUUUUGAACAAGGAAAACUAUUAAAUCUCAGAUUCAUGAGCCUAAAACACUUGAUUGACUUGGUUUCACUUUGCGAAAAAUCGCUGUUUAGCCUCCCUUUCUUAUAUUGCAACAUUCUUUUGUUAUGAAAUUGCAACUUUCUUUAAAUCCAAUGGCUUGAAUUCAAUUGAUGGUAA